CCUCUGGCUUCUUACUCUCAGCUCUCAGUGGUUUACCAAGGAAUUUCUUCUGAAUACACAGGUGCUUAUCCUAAGAGAUAUGCUCACUUGACAGAUUCAAACACGAAUAAAUCAAGGUCUGUUACCUGUGCUAAGAGAGACCUUGGGGAAUUCUAUCCUUACAAAUUAUAAUCCAUGUGUCUGGCUAUGGAGAAUAAAAAUCCCAGCAAACCAACUAUUGG
rnacentral:lncRNA from 12 species